GGCCGCGGGAAUUCGAUUCAGGCCUAACACAUGCAAGUCGAGCGGUAGAGAGAAGCUUGCUUCUCUUGAGAGCGGCGGACGGGUGAGUAAUGCCUAGGAAUCUGCCUGGUAGUGGGGGAUAACGUUCGGAAACGGACGCUAAUACCGCAUACGUCCUACGGGAGAAAGCAGGGGACCUUCGGGCCUUGCGCUAUCAGAUGAGCCUAGGUCGGAUUAGCUAGUUGGUGAGGUAAUGGCUCACCAAGGCUACGAUCCGUAACUGGUCUGAGAGGAUGAUCAGUCACACUGGAACUGAGACACGGUCCAGACUCCUACGGGAGGCAGCAGUGGGGAAUAUUGGACAAUGGGCGAAAGCCUGAUCCAAAGAGGCCGCGUGUGUGAAGAAGGUCUUCGGAUUGUAAUUCAAUGUAAGUUGGGAGGAAGGGCAUUAACCUAAUACGUUAGUGUUUGACGUACCGACA
rnacentral:rRNA from 1 species